rnacentral:rRNA from 1 species
UCCGUAGGUGAACCUGCGGAAGGAUCAUUAUCGUGGGGCUUCGGCCCUCUCGAGAUAGAACCCUUGCCUUUUUGAGUACCUUUUCGUUUCCUCGGCAGGCUCGCCUGCCAACGGGGACCCCAUCAAAUACCCUUUGUAACACCUGUAAAUCGUCUGACAAAACAAACAAAAAAUUAAAACUUUCAACAACGGAUCUCUUGGUUCUGGCAUCGAUGAAGAACGCAGCGAAAUGCGAUAAGUAGUGUGAAUUGCAGAAUUCAGUGAAUCAUCGAAUCUUUGAACGCACAUUGCGCCCUAUGGUAUUCCGUAGGGCAUGCCUGUUCGAGCGUCAUUCAAACCUUCAAGCUCUGCUUGGUGUUGGGCGUCUGUCCCCGCCUCACGGCGCGGACUCGCCUCAAAUCUAUUGGCGGCCGGCACGUUGGCUUCGAGCGCAGCAGAAACGCGAACUCGAGGCCCGACGGAUCGGCUCCCAGAAGCUAACCCCCCCAUGAAUUU